UACGUAGGCAGCGAGCGUUGUUCGGAGUUACUGGGCGUAAAGGGUGUGUAGGCGGUUGCUUAAGUUUGGUGUGAAAUCUCCCGGCUCAACUGGGAGGGUGCGCCGAAUACUGAGUGACUCGAGUGCGGGAGAGGAGAGUGGAAUUCCUGGUGUAGCGGUGAAAUGCGUAGAUAUCCGGAGGAACACCAGUGGCGAAAGCGGCCUUCUGGACCAUUUCUGACGCUCAGACGCGAAAGCUAGGGUAGCAAACGGG
rnacentral:rRNA from 1 species